rnacentral:rRNA from 1 species
AUUGAACGCUGGCGGCAGGCCUAACACAUGCAAGUCGAGCGAGCGGCGGACGGGUGAGUAAUGUAUGGGGAACUGCCCGAUAGAGGGGGAUAACUACUGGAAACGGUAGCUAAUACCGCAUACUAUCGGAUGUGCCCAGAUGGGAUUAGCUCGUAGGUGAGGUAAUGGCUCACCUAGGCGACGAUCCCUAGCUGGUCUGAGAGGAUGACCAGCCACACUGGAACUGAGACACGGCCCAGACUCCUACGGGAGGCAGCAGUGGGGAAUAGUGCACAAUGGGCGAAAGCCUGAUGCAGCCAUGCCGCGUGUAUGAAGAAGGCCUUAGGGUUGUAAAGUACUUUCAGUGGGGAGGCGUUACCGGCAGAAGAAGCACCGGCUAACUCCGUGCCAGCAGCCGCGGUAAUAC